GACAAACGCUGGCGGCGUGCCUAACACAUGCAAGUCGAGCGCGAAAGGGACCUUCGGGUCCCUGGAGAGCGGCGAACGGGUGAGUAACACGUGGGCAACCUGCCUCAAGGACUGGGAUAACUCCGGGAAACCGGGGCUAAUACCGGGCGAUGUCGUCCCGCGCAAGCGGGUCGACCAAAGGGUAGCUUCGGCCUCCGCCUUGAGAUGGGCCCGCGUCCUAUCAGCUUGUUGGUGAGGUAACGGCUCACCAAGGCUACGACGGGUAGCUGGUCUGAGAGGAUGAUCGGCCACACUGGGACUGGGGUACGGCCCAGACUCCUACGGGAGGCAGCAGUGGGGAAUCUUGCGCAAUGGGCGAAGGCCUGACGCAGCAACGCCGCGUGAGCGAAGAAGGCCUUCGGGUUGUAAAGCUCUGUCAGGGGGAAAGAAGGCACCUGGGUUAAUAGCCCAAGGGUUGACGGUACCCCCAAAGGAAGCCACGGCUAACUACGUGCCAGCCGCCGCCGUAAGAC
rnacentral:rRNA from 1 species